GGGCUCACUUUGGCAGCACAUAUACUAAAAGUGGAACAAUACAGAGAAGGUUAGCAUGACCCCUGCACAAGGAUGACAUGCAAAUUUGUGAAGCAUUCCAUAUUAAA
rnacentral:snRNA from 1 species